AUGGAGGACAUGGAACUUCAAGAACGUAGAAGUGUCAGACACAGUGGUGGCGAAAGAUCAGAUAUGGAAGGAGAGGAAGGUUACGAGCAAGGUGAUGGCGGUUUGGUGCAUUUUGGGCCUCUUCCGCCGCCGGAGGUGAUUUCUGGUGCGGCGGAAUACUAA